GUAGGGAAUUUUUCGCAAUGGACGAAAGUCUGACGGAGCAAUACCGCGUGAGGGAAGAAUGUUUUCGGACUGUAAACCUCUGUUGUAAAGGAAGAACAUCUGGAUUAGGAAAUGAAUCCAGCUUGACGGUACUUUACCAGAAAGCGACGGCUAACUACGUGCCAGCAGCCGCGGUAAUACGUAGGUCGCGAGCGUUAUCCGGAAUUAUUGGGCGUAAAGAGUUCGUAGGUGGUCAAGCAAGUCUUAUGUGAAAGCCAACGGCUUAACCGUUGAACUGCAUAAGAUACUACUUGACUAGAAUCUAGGAGAGGAAACUGGAAUUCCAUGUGUAGCGGUGGAAUGCGUAGAUAUAUGGAGGAACACCAAUGGCGAAGGCAGGUUUCUGGACUAGUAUUGACACUGAGGAACGAAAGCGUGGGUAGCAAACAGGAUUAGAUACCCUUGUAGUCC
rnacentral:rRNA from 1 species